rnacentral:tRNA from 1 species
AUCUGAAUAGCUUAAUUAGAAAGUUUAACGUUGAAAAUGUUAAGAUAGAUUUUUAUCUUUUAGAUA